GUGUCAGCAGCCGCGGUAAUACAGAGGGUGCGAGCGUUAAUCGGAGUAACUGGGCGUAAAGGGCACGUAGGCGGUUAUAUUAGUCUGAUGUGAAAGACCUGGGCUUAACCUGGGAUGUGCAUUGGAAACGGUAUGGCUAGAGUAUGGGAGAGGGAAGUGGAAUUUCCGGUGUAGCGGUGAAAUGCGUAGAGAUCGGAAAGAACACUCGUGGCGAAGGCGGCUUUCUGGCCCAAAACUGACGCUGAGGUGCGAAAGCGUGGGGAGCGAACAGGAUUAGAUACCCUGGUAGUCC
rnacentral:rRNA from 1 species